ACCAAAAAUUAGAAAAAGGGAACGAAAACUAAGGAAAUUGGCCAAGAACUCAGUUGGAGGUGCGGGCCCGUUGUAGGAGGGGCACAGGGAGCGAUUCAUUUAGGCCACAAGCCCAAACCUUCCACACCGGCAACGAUCCAAUCUCCCGUUCAAACAAGAAGGCGAAGUCUCCCUAAAGUUCACGAUUCAAAACCAGUCACCGCCGUCGACCGAAACAGACAUACGCCAUGAAGACAAUGGGAACGCAUCUCUGUUACUAGCGCAACUUCGACUUCUCACGAGGAAUCAGGACUAAGAUUCGAGCGUGCAUCCAAAGCCAAUGCCAAAAACUGAACUCUAAAUCGAAAAAUCGCGUGAAACAGAAGAGAUCGAAGUGCAGAAUCGUACCGAAUUCGUGCUUUGUGUGGAGGCAGAGAUGGAGAGGACCAAGUUAUCGUCGAUGUGCAAUGAAGACUCUGUUCGAAUCGUUGCUGCGUUGAAGGAUGACGAAUCCAUUCGUGCUCGAUCGUCGUUUAUCCAGUAUUCCACUCCUCCAUGCACGCGUCGCUGUCGCGGUUCUAGAAGUGAGAAGAAGAAUCCGAUGAUCCGCCUAUUCCUCCACAUUCGUUCAUCUAGGAUGAUUCGAGGAUUUCUCUCGCUUGCUACGUUCGGCUUGGACCGGUAUCAAACAUUUUCAUUGGAUUCUUGAUUGAUUUUGUACUGUGUUAUUGAGCGUGAGGAAGCGAGGUCAAAGAUUGGAGGUUUCUCCGUUGAAGAGAGGAGAAGCUGAGUUGCAGGUCCUGGAAAAACGGAAACAGAGUGGCGAAGAUGGAAGGUGAAGGCGAUGAGAAAUGUGGAAUCCGGUUGACUCGAAUUCCUGAGAGAGCGAGUGAAUUUCUUCUUGGUGAUUGAGCUAACAUAAGGUUAACUCCGUUCCCUCCUCCUUCCAAAGUUGUUAGAACUGGCUACAUUUAUAGUGAUGAGAGAGUGAAGAAGUUCUCUUGAAAGCGGAUUCUGUUAUCCUUUUCUGAUUCGGUUAGAUACGGUGAAGUUUGGGAGUGGGGCUAGAAUUUAGUUUUUUCUGUUAUCGAUUUCGUUAAUUUUUCUGUUAUCCUUUUUUGCAGGAACUGUUCUUAUUUUUAUGCAGUUAAUUCACUUGGAUUUUACAUUUCCGUUUUGGAGUGUUGGAUGUUCGUGAAGCUUGUAAUAUGGUAGCCUGUUUUGGUGUUUCCGUGCCGUUUUGGUUUUCUCGUUGAGCUCUUGUUUGUGUGCGCUUAGCUGCAGCAUACUGGCUUGGGCUUAAGGAGCUUGUACUCACGUGGUAGCAGCUUUUGUGUGCGGCUUUUUCAGCUGCAUCUUUGUUGCAACGCCCUGUACGUUGCGUUUGCACUGCUGCAUAUUGCAGCAGUAUUUUCAAUAGCAUUUCCUAUUUGCUUUAA